rnacentral:rRNA from 1 species
ACUCCUACGGGAGGCAGCAGUGGGGAAUAUUGCACAAUGGGCGCAAGCCUGAUGCAGCGACGCCGCGUGGGGGAUGACGGCCUUCGGGUUGUAAACUCCUUUCGUCAGGGACGAAGCGAAAGUGACGGUACCUGGAUAAGAAGCACCGGCUAACUACGUGCCAGCAGCCGCGGUAAUACGUAGGGUGCGAGCGUUGUCCGGAAUUACUGGGCGUAAAGAGCUCGUAGGUGGUUUGUCGCGUCGUUUGUGGAAUACCGCAGCUUAACUGCGGGGUUGCAGGCGAUACGGGCAUAACUUGAGUGCUGUAGGGGAGACUGGAAUUCCUGGUGUAGCGGUGGAAUGCGCAGAUAUCAGGAGGAACACCGAUGGCGAAGGCAGGUCUCUGGGCAGUAACUGACGCUGAGGAGCGAAAGCAUGGGUAGCGAACAGGAUUAGAUACCCUGGUAGGUGA